rnacentral:rRNA from 1 species
AUUAACGCUAGCGGCAGGUAUAAUACAUGCAAGUUGAACGGCAGCACAGGUAGCAAUACUGGGUGGCGAGUGGCGCACGGGUGCGUAACACGUAUGCAACCUACCCUAUACAGGCGAAUAACCUUUAGAAAUGAGGGCUAAUACGCCGUAGUAUUACAGAUGGGCAUCUAUUUGUAAUUAAAGAUUUAUCGGUAUAGGAUGGGCAUGCGUCCCAUUAGUUAGUUGGUAAGGUAACGGCUUACCAAGACGAUGAUGGGUAGGGG